GAUGAACGCUGGCGGCGUGCCUAAUACAUGCAAGUCGAGCGAACAGACGAGGAGCUUACUCCUUUGACGUUAGCGGCGGACGGGUGAGUAACACGUAGGUAACCUACCUAUAAGACUGGGAUAACUUCGGGAAACCGGAGCUAAUACCGGAUAAUAUUUCGAACCGCAUGGUUCGAUAGUGAAAGAUGGCUUUGCUAUCACUUAUAGAUGGACCUGCGCCGUAUUAGCUAGUUGGUAAGGUAACGGCUUACCAAGGCAACGAUACGUAGCCGACCUGAGAGGGUGAUCGGCCACACUGGAACUGAGACACGGUCCAGACUCCUACGGGAGGCAGCAGUAGGGAAUCUUCCGCAAUGGGCGAAAGCCUGACGGAGCAACGCCGCGUGAGUGAUGAAGGUCUUCGGAUCGUAAAACUCUGUUAUUAGGGAAGAACAAACGUGUAAGUAACUGUGCACGUCUUGACGGUACCUAAUCAGAAAGCCACGGCUAACUACGUG
rnacentral:rRNA from 1 species